GUGGGGAAUAUUGGACAAUGGGCGCAAGCCUGAUCCAGCCAUGCCGCGUGAGUGAUGAAGGCCCUAGGGUUGUAAAGCUCUUUCACCGGAGAAGAUAAUGACGGUAUCCGGAGAAGAAGCCCCGGCUAACUUCGUGCCAGCAGCCGCGGUAAUACGAAGGGGGCUAGCGUUGUUCGGAAUUACUGGGCGUAAAGCGCACGUAGGCGGACAUUUAAGUCAGGGGUGAAAUCCCGGGGCUCAACCCCGGAACUGCCUUUGAUACUGGGUGUCUGGAGUAUGGAAGAGGUAAGUGGAAGUCCGAGUGUAGAGGUGAAAUUCGUAGAUAUUCGGAGGAACACCAGUGGCGAAGGCGGCUUACUGGUCCAUUACUGACGCUGAGGUGCGAAAGCGUGGGGAGCAAACAGGAUUAGAAACCCUAGUAGUCC
rnacentral:rRNA from 1 species